UACGGGAGGCAGCAGUGGGGAAUAUUGCACAAUGGGCGCAAGCCUGAUGCAGCCAUGCCGCGUGUAUGAAGAAGGCCUUCGGGUUGUAAAGUACUUUCAGUCGUGAGGAAGGUGUUAAGGUUAAUAACCUUAGCAAUUGACGUUAGCGACAGAAGAAGCACCGGCUAACUCCGUGCCAGCAGCCGCGGUAAUACGGAGGGUGCGAGCGUUAAUCGGAAUUACUGGGCGUAAAGGGCACGCAGGCGGUUAAUUAAGUUGGAUGUGAAAUCCCCGGGCUUAACCUGGGAAUGGCAUUCAAGACUGGUUAGCUAGAGUCUUGUAGAGGGGGUAGAAUUCCAUGUGUAGCGGUGAAAUGCGUAGAGAUGUGGAGGAAUACCGGUGGCGAAAGGCGGCCCCUGGGACAAAGACUGACGCUCAUGUGCGAAAAGCGU
rnacentral:rRNA from 1 species